rnacentral:rRNA from 1 species
UGAAGAGUUUGAUCAUGGCUCAGAUUGAACGCUGGCGGCAGGCCUAACACAUGCAAGUCGAACGGUAACAGGAAGCAGCUUGCUGCUUUGCUGACGAGUGGCGGACGGGUGAGUAAUGUCUGGGAAACUGCCUGAUGGAGGGGGAUAACUACUGGAAACGGUGGCUAAUACCGCAUAACGUCGCAAGACCAAAGAGGGGGACCUUCGGGCCUCUUGCCAUCAGAUGUGCCCAGAUGGGAUUAGCUUGUUGGUGAGGUAACGGCUCACCAAGGCGACGAUCCCUAGCUGGUCUGAGAGGAUGACCAGCCACACUGGAACUGAGACACGGUCCAGACUCCUACGGGAGGCAGCAGUGGGGAAUAUUGCACAAUGGGCGCAAGCCUGAUGCAGCCAUGCCGCGUGUAUGAAGAAGGCCUUCGGGUUGUAAAGUACUUUCAGCGGGGAGGAAGGUGUUGUGGUUAAUAACCGCAGCAAUUGACGUUACCCGCAGAAGAAGCACCGGCUAACUCCGUGCCAGCAGCCGCGGUAAUACGGAGGGUGCAAGCGUUAAUCGGAAUUACUGGGCGUAAAGCGCACGCAGGCGGUCUGUCAAGUCGGAUGUGAAAUCCCCGGGCUCAACCUGGGAACUGCAUUCGAAACUGGCAGGCUUGAGUCUUGUAGAGGGGGGUAGAAUUCCAGGUGUAGCGGUGAAAUGCGUAGAGAUCUGGAGGAAUACCGGUGGCGAAGGCGGCCCCCUGGACAAAGACUGACGCUCAGGUGCGAAAGCGUGGGGAGCAAACAGGAUUAGAUACCCUGGUAGUCCACGCCGUAAACGAUGUCUACUUGGAGGUUGUGCCCUUGAGGCGUGGCUUCCGGAGCUAACGCGUUAAGUAGACCGCCUGGGGAGUACGGCCGCAAGGUUAAAACUCAAAUGAAUUGACGGGGGCCCGCACAAGCGGUGGAGCAUGUGGUUUAAUUCGAUGCAACGCGAAGAACCUUACCUGGUCUUGACAUCCACAGAACUUUCCAGAGAUGGAUUGGUGCCUUCGGGAAC